AAUGAUCGUGUUGAAGUGGUUCAUUACUUCCGAUCGCGGAAACCGAAUACCGCGCAACUUAUCUGAGGGUUUUCGGAACUACUACUCGUCCAUUUCAAUUCUGAUCGUGAACGAGGCAGCAGUGUGAUUAGUUUAUUUCGCGUGCGUUUUAUAGGUUUAGCUAGUGCGGUUAAGUUAGAAGUGCGGUCUACGGACGCUUUUUCGUGCGUUAUUGUUACAAAAAGAAGGUAAGAGGUUUUAAAUGUGUGUACGACAGAAAAUGCUGAAAACCCAAAUCAGCCGUUGUCGGCUUCUUUUUUGGGCUUUCUUUUCGCCCUUUACUAGCCGCUGCACCAGCGCGACGCUGCCACCCUCACGCUGCUGACCCACGACGGAAUUGGAAGUUGCUGCUCUGGUUAAACGUCGGCCCUUGAGAUCAGCCGGCAAACGACGCCGUCGAUACCGUCCGAUCGACGCCAUCCCGUCCCAUUGAUCGACGCCAUCGCUUAUCAUCGAGUGACGCCAUCGCAGCUCAUCGAUCGACGCCAACGACGCCAAGCAGAACAGCAGUGGACGCAACAAGUCAUCGACGGUAGGGCUAUUAAUAGCACCGACGGGACUUCUUUAUCUACCUUAUAUUCACCUAACUCUUCGAGACUUACCUUGGCGACAACCUGACAAUCUUCCAGCGUAUGCAGACCGUUGUCGUUUACUCAAUCUGGAUACCUUGGAACGCCGUCGCAAGAUACAACAGAUUUUCGUGCGCCGCAAAGAGCCCUUCAAUCAUCCGCACUAUUGAUAAAUCACUCUCAUCGUACGAACAUUGGUCACAAUGAACCCGUUGCCUCGUGUAUUAAUAUGUUUAGUCGUAUAGAAGGACAUUUUGAAUUUGGUGAGCCUUCGCAAAAAUUGAAGA